CCAGAUUUUCUCAGAAGGUGGCCUUGACUACCUUGGAAACCCUAAUUUGAUCCAUGCCCAAAGCAUUCUUGCUAUCUGGGCAUCUCAGGUUGUCCUCAUGGGGCUCAUUGAAGGAUACCGGGUUGGUGGGGGUCCGCUUGGUGAAGGCCUUGAUAAGAUUUAUCCGGGUGGGUCUUUUGACCCGCUUGGAUUGGCUGAUGACCCGGAAGCUUUUGCUGAAUUGAAGGUUAAGGAGCUUAAAAAUGGAAGAUUGGCGAUGUUUUCUAUGUUUGGGUUUUUUGUUCAGGCUAUUGUUACAGGGAAGGGUCCGAUUGAGAAUUUGUUUGACCAUCUUGCUGACCCGGUUGCUAACAAUGCUUGGGCUUAUGCUACCAACUUUGUGCCCGGAAAAUGAGUUAAAUAUGUGUAGAUUUAAACCCUUAUGCAAUAUCAAGAAAUUAUUUCACUUAAUCUUCUUAUUUUCUUGAGUUAAUAUCUUUAUGAUUAUGUUAUGGAAGUGGUUCAUGUUGUAGCAACACUGCAUCAAAAUGUCUUUGGCCUAGCGGUGUCAAGAGUGCCAAAGGUGACGGGUUCUAGUCGUGUGCACGGAAAGUGUAGAUUUACGAUAUUGAAAUGUACUGACCGGAUCAUCAUAAGUGAUUUUUCGUUGCAAGCUAACUAUUAUUUUGCAAAAAUACUAUAAGCAACAUCACGGUGUUGCAAUAACGAACUACUUUCAAGAAGCUAGAUGAAUGUAAAAAAACAAAGCACUCAUGUACUUCCUAUUGCUUAAUAUCGUUGUACGUGAUGCAACUUUUGGAAGGGCUAAAUACAAAAAGUAGCAAUGUACUUUCAGUUAUGUCACAUUUUGUCCAAAUACUCUUGCAUUUCAUAUUUGAUCUUCAAUGUUUUCUUUGAGUGAUCGCCCAUCAGUGAUGUAUCCUAUGGUGAUUAUUAUGUAUAAGAUUUUCAAGUGUGAGUAUCUUUGAAUGUCAAAAGGCUUUAAUUUGUAUAUCUUGGCAAUUUGAGUGUCUUCUCAAUUUUAUUAAUUUAUUAGAUUUCACCAAUUUCUUCUUGGUGGUGUUUAAUUAAUGGGGUUUAGGUUAUUUUUGGUCACUUAAUUUUUGGUUUUGUGCUUAUUUGGUCACAUAACUUUUUUAAGUUUUAAAAGGUCGUCAAAUUUUUAGCUUUGUGCUCAUUUAGUCACUUAACUUUUGGUUUGGUCACUUAGCUUUUGGAUUUGUGCUCAUUUAGUCACCUAACUUUUAAAAUUGUGCUUAUUUAGUCACUAAACUUUUAAAAAAUUUCAAAAGUUUUAGUGAAUAAAUGAGCAUAAUUUUAAAAGUUAGGUGACUAAAUGAGCAUAAAUCCAAAAGUUAAGUGACCAAACCAAAAGUUAAAUGACUAAAUGAACACAAAGCCAAAAGUUUGAUGACCUUUUAAAACUUAAAAAGAGUUAAGUAACCAAAUAAGCAUAAAAUCAAAAGUUAAGUGACCAAAAAUGACCUAAACCAUUAAUUAAUGUGUAGGUUUGUAUUUGGGAAGUAUCCACCCAAAGUUAGAGAACAUCAAGAGAUUUGCUUUGGAAGGUUAUAAACUUGUUCCAAAGGAGAAGGUAUGUAUAGCCUAUUCUUUUAGUUUUUGGAUGUCCCAUUUUGCCAUUUCAUUGUUAGAUUCAGUUCAUGUUAUCAGUAUCUUUAUUAUUCUCUUAUGGUUAGUUUCUGUCAAAUUAUGGAAGGCGGUAAACUUCUUUGAAAAGAGAAUGUAUUUAUAGUUUUAAUUUAUUAAAAUCGAUUAAUAUAAUAAUUUGGAAAAGUAUUAUAUUUUGAAAGCUGUAAAAUGACACUGUAAAAUGACAUUGUAGCACAACUAAGUUUCAAAUUUUUCCUGAAAGUUUUUUUUUUACAUAAUAGGUUCCUAAAGUAUCAAUUUAUCUGUCCUAUUAAAUAAUGGAAUAAUUCGAUUUCACCGAUAACCUUUAGUCCACAUGGUUUUUUUUUCAAAAUUAGCAAUUGAAACUUAUCUAUGUGGAAGAUAAAUACAAAAAACCUUACCUCAUUUGCCCUUCCUCCUUCCUAGACGAGGCACGCAGCCAUUUGGAACCAUUUCUUCUUCACGAGCAUCCACAGCCAAUAUGUAAUUGGAGUGUUUACAGAUAUUUUAGUUACGAAUGGGUAACAGAUGCGAGAGAAGGAAAGUAAAGGAAUCGAGAAAUAAGGAAGCAUUAGUGCACAUCGGCGUUGGUUUCAAGAACAGCAACCAUGCUGCUGCCGGAAGCUAUGGUGGUCAGAGAAAGAUUGAAGUUUUUUAAGUGAAUCAAAGUCGCUUUUUGAUCGAUGCAUUUGCCAAGGUCCUUCAAAUGGAUUAGGGAUGUUCUUCGGCUCGGAACCGACUCGAAUCGACCCGAAUACGAAUAACGUGAAACCCGAAUUGGAUGAAAAGUGGGAACCGAAACCCAGACCGAUUAUAUUAAUACGGGGUCGUUCGGUUCAGGUAAGACGGGUUUCGAUUCGGUCAUUAACCCAAAAGGCCCGAAAUAACCCAAAUAAACAUUAUACUAUACUUUUGAACCGAAUAAACCAAAUAAACUGAAAUUACCUGAAUAACCUAAAUAAGGAAAUUCUAUAUCUAGUUCAAGAAAAUAAAUAUUAAUUUAAUAUUUUUUUUCUUGAACUAGAUAUAGAAUCUCCUUAAUUAGUUUAUUCGAGUCAUUUGGUUUAUUUGAGUUAUUCAGGUAAUUUGGUUUAUUCGAGUUAUUCGGUUCAAGUGACUAUUUACUUUCCAGGUCGGUCUUUUUGGUCUAAUUCGGGUCGGUCAUCCACAAGAUCUUCACCUGAAACCACAGUAUUAUCGUCUUUAGUUUUACGAUUUGUCUCUUUCCAAGUUGUAAUGGAGAUUGGUGGUUGUUCGUCGGAGCUCUGGCGACUGGAUUGGUUCAAGGAGAAGGGGUGGUUGGUGGUAGUGCCAUGUAGAAGCCAUGUCAGCAGCACCACCUCGGAAAUUCUAUUAACUAAAGUGCAACCUAGCGAGCCAUGUCACAUGUGUUAUCAGUUGUUUCCUUUUCCCUUCCAAAAAUGAUCUAUUUGAUAAGUAAAUGGAUGCUUUAGGGAAAUAUUGCGCCCAAAAAAAAAUUCUUUUAAUGAUGAAUCCAAGAUAAACCCAAAACUUGGUUGUGUUAUAGUGUUAUUUUCCAUUUGAAAGAUUAUGAAAAUUACAGAUGAUAUUUUAAACUUGAAUUUAUAAGAUGGAUAUAAUAGUCGGUCUCUAAAAAUAAAGAUUUAAAAUCAUUAUAAAAUGGUUAAACAAGGAUACGGAGAAAUAUGAUUUUAAAAGUUUAUGAAGGAUAUACUUUAUAUUUAAAAAAUAGAUUGUACAAAUAUGAUAUUUUGAUGUAGAAAAUUAGCUUAUAAGAAAGUAUCCUUAAUAAGAAUGUCAAAGCAUUGUUAUAUAUACUAAAUUAUAGUAAAUAAAUCUAGGGAUCGAAUCUAUAGAGACACAUAUUAAGUGUUUAAUAUAUCUUUACGUAAAAUAUAAGGAUCUUGACAGCGAUAAACAAAUAAUAUGAAGUAAGAAAGGGUUAUCCGAACAAGACCCUAAAAGUAAGCAUGUAAUAAAAACUAGGUUUUAGAAAUCAAGUUAGAAAUAAUUUCAGUUUCAAGUUCUAUCCAUCUAUAAUAUGAAUUAAUUUACUAAUCUAAGUUGGUACUAAAUAACAUUAAUAAGCUCUAGGGUCACUUUAUUUUUCAAAUUAUUCAGUUACAAUAAGCUAUUUAUCUAAACUUAACCUUAGGAACUUAACAUAAACAAACUUUUAGAUAAAGUUGAAAGUUCUAAGUUUUUUACAAGUAUUCCAAAACAAUGUUUAACAAUUAUCAUACACUCAGAAGGGUAAAACUAUGUGAUUCAAGUUUGCAAUGAUAAUUAAUUCAAACGUAAAGCCAGGUCAUUGUUUGUUACUAGUUUUAAUUCAUAAAACAAUUUCGAAUUUCAUAAAAUAAUUAAUAAAUUUGUUAGAAUUAAACUAAUCAAAGUGGCGAAUCAUGAACCGAGUGAAAGUAUAAGAGUAAAAAUCAAACAAAUUACUAGAUUAAAAUGAAUCAAGACAUCGAUCCAACAUAAAUAGCCGCACAUAGAUGAGAGUCAGACUAGAAACUGGAAAAAUAAGGGUUUUAACCGUUCAUGGCUAAAAAUAAACAAUCAAAAUUAUAAUUCUACAAGUGUAAUGCGUUAAUUGACCUAAUAAAAUACAAAACAAUGUUAUGAAUGAGUUCUUCAAACUUCGUUUUCUCCAAAUCGAUGUUACUGUGUCUCAAGUCAAGAUAAAGUACAUAUCGGAACUAAUGGGAUAUUUGUAGGCCCGAAAAACAUUUUUUGUAACUCCUCCAAGUGGAUUUUGCACUGUGAUUCAACUUGACAAGGUGGUCUUCAACAACAUGAGUAUUCAACAUUUCUCAUCACCUCGACAUAGUGGAGGUCAAGAGGAAUGCCCACUCAGCCCACUUUCUUCAGUAUUUUAAACUUUUAUGCUAUUGGCCCGAUCUUCCAGAAACUUAACAUGCAACUCGCUAAUAAUAUUCCAAGAAUAAAAAAUCUUAAUGUGCCCUGGAAAACAUCUUUUUUAAAUAAGAAUAUUCCUUGCAAUCUACAAAAAAAAAUCCAAAAUAUCUGUAACAUCCAGAUUCUUAGGUAUGUAUUAUAUUUUUUAUAUAUUUUGAUUUAAUCGAAGGGACUCAGCGAGUUGGUGGAUUAACUCGUCGAGUAGGGGCGCGAUCAGGUGACGUGUUUAAAUGAAUGGACUCGACGAGUCGAGCAUUGGCCUCGCCGAGUCGGCGCUGUGGAGGAAAACCCUAAUUGUCCGGGUUUGGGACCUAUUUAAAGAGCCUUAGGGUCUUCAAUUGCGGCUAUCCUUACCCUGGAGAAACCCUAAAUCAUCCUUGAGAGCUUAGAGAGUAAAGAAGAGCCAUCUUGAGCAUUUUGGUGUGUCAUUUCUAAAGAGAAGAUGAGAUUCUAGCAAGAGGGACCAGAGGGGGUUGAUGUACUGAGGUUAUGAAGCCUGGAGCUUCACUUUGAGGUAACAAAUCGGACCAUUUCUCCUGUUUGAUGUUGAUAUCAUGAAUCUAGGGUUUCUUAACCAUUCUCUUUAGAGGUUUAUGGAAUGUUUGAGGUCCCAAUGUGGAAUAAGCCUUAGAUCUGGACCAUGGGAGGUCCAGAGAGUCCCUUAUGUUCGGCUUUAUGCAGUCACAUAGAGAGUUUGAGCCUAGGUUUCCAUUUACAUGGUUAUUUCUUCAUUUAUGGCUCUAAUCAUGAUGCAUGGACGUAAAGUUUGGACCUUUACGUGAUAUGUAGGUGCUAGAAGGAUAGAUAUGCAAGUUGGUGAAGCAGAUCUGACCUCAUAAGGUCAGAUGAGUUUGGUCAUGGAGGAGACUCGCCGAGUCCAUAGGAGGACUCGACGAGUCGGAUCGAGUUUACCCGAGUUUCGUGAUCAGUUGAGACCCGACAAGUUAGGUGGGUGACUCAAAGAGUCGAGUGAGACCUUGUGAGGAAUCUGAUUACGCGUGUGGACUCGCCGAGUCGUUUCCUGACUCGACGAGUCUGGUCAAAGUUGGACCGUUGACUUCCGUUGACUUUUAGGGUUUAGUCAACCAGUGGACUAUUGGGCCAUGGGAAUGGUAGAAUGGUCUUUUAACUUUCUGAGAAGCAUAGUACGAGACUUGCCUAGCCUUUGAGAGCCACUGCUGAUUUAGAGUUAUUUAUUUAUGUGAUUAGGCAGCGGCUAGAUCGGUAUUUCGAGUUCGAGACUUUUCGAGAAUUACCCAAGUUGAGUCUUCUCAUUAUACGUUACCUUGAGUGGUAGUUAUGUGUGACCGGAGGGUCUUAUGUGCUUACAUUGAGUAUUAUGUUAUAUGUGAUAUGCUAUUCAUCAUGUCUUUGUGAUUUAUGCUAUGCGGAGUUUAUAGACCGGACCGGAGGGUCCAACGAUAUAGACCGGACCGGAGGGUCCAACGAUACAGACCGGACCGUAGGGUCCAACGAUACGGAACUGGAGGGUUCCGCUGAGACACACCGACCGGAGGGUCAUAUUGUAGCCUUGAGUGGCGUAUGUGUUGUAUGUGGUAUUUUGGGGAAAUCACUAAGCUUCGUGCUUACCGUGUCAUGUGUUAUGUGUUUCAGGUUCUUCAAAAUCGCUGGAAGGCGGCGGCUCGAUUGUACACACACAAGAGAAAAGAGUGAUGAACACAGAUCCUGAAAUUUCAUAAUGUUCUGAAAACCUUGUUGAUGAUUUUUAAAUAAAAAGUGUUUAUAUAGGAUAAUGUGCAUUUUUAUGAAAUAAAAAUGAAUAAAAUAAAUUUAAAAUUUUACGGUGUUACAAGUUGGUAUCAGAGCCUUGGUUUGAGGGAUUCGGAUACACCUUCGGGUAUGUACGGACUCAAACUGAGGAUUGAGAAAAAGGUUUUCAAAAAAAAUGGGUUUUCAAAAAAAAUGAGUAAGAUAAUUUAUAAGAGAAAGAGGCAACGAGCAGUGUGUACAAUCAGCCAGCACCCGAACGGUGAUUUCCUAAAAAUACCCUUACAUUGUGUGUUAUGAGUAAUAUGUGAAAUGUUAUAUAUGCUAGAGAGUAAGCUAGGUAUUUCAUAUUUUAGCGCUAGUGUGGCCUGAUUUGUGAUGCCUUAGCCUAGGAGUUACUGUUAUCUGUGAAUUGCUUUUGUAUAUGUGCGAAUUAUGAGUAUCCAUCAGGAAUCCUAUUUAGAGAAGGAUUUGAGCAGAGGAGUAAUCUAGGAGAGAUACCUAGAUGAGCAUUUGAGGAGCCUUCUGAGAAGGUAGUCGGAUACCCGCGAGGGGUGGAGUUGCUUAAUCUCGGUGACGUCUUUGAUUACGAGUGCAGCAAGCGGAGUUGUAACCUAGAGUGGUGAUACAUGUUGAUAAGGGACUACUCGAUGACCGAAUGCUGCUUGUUUCGUGCUUUGUGGAAUUCUCGGUGAUGGGAGUCGGCUACUAAGUGAAUAUGACGAUAUUCAGGAGGUAGACGGCUGGCAUCACUAGGAGUUCUUCAGCAGCUGAUGGCAGGAAGGUGUGGGAACCUAGGAAGAGCCUGGGAAGUGAUCUUUGUUAGAUGAGUAGGCGGAUAAUGGAGAGUAUUCGCAGGAAGAGCGGACACCAGGGCGGAAUUUGUAAGUGAGGAGGUUGAGCAACUACUUUGGAGAUCUGGGAUGAUACAUGUAGAAAGUAUGGGUAGAUGUGGUAGGUAGUAUGGGCCCGUACUACUGAAAGCAGAGGACCCAUACUCGAUACAUGGAAAGUUCCUGGGAUUCUAAGUAGCAGAUGAGAGGGAUCGUAUGGUUUGAGUACCAUGAUCAGUAGCAGAUGAGAGGGAUUGUAUGGUUUGAGUACCAUGAUCAGUGGCAGAUGAGAGGGGAUUGUAUGGUUUGAGUACCAUGAUCAGUGGCAGAUGAGAGGGGAUUGUAUCGUUUGAGUACCAUGAUCAGUGGCAGAUGAGAGGGGAUUGUAUGGUUUGAGUACCAUGCUUGGAAGCAGGUUGGGAAGUGAUGUCAUGGUUAGAGUACCAUGAUUUAUAGCAGGCAGAGAGAUAGCAACAUGGUUCGAGUACCAUGGUUGCGAUGAUUAGUGUUACUGGUCCUACCAGUUAUGCCAUUAGGUUGAUUAUACCGAGAUCAGGUAUGAGAGAAUAUGCAGCUUGAGGGCCAAUUUGAAUGAGUUCGAGGGAGUAUUCUUGAAAGAGAAAUGGGAUUCAUUUUAAGAGGUUUUAUUUGUGAGGUGCCAGUGGAAACUGCACGGCUUAAGGAUAAGUGGGAUGAUGUUGUUGAAGAAGCGGCGUUCGAGUCAAGCCAUCGGCUGAUGGAUGAGCCAUCACCUUCUAUGGCGAGAGUUACGUGGUUUCCGUUUUUGAGAAGAGGAAUGAGUUAUCGAGUUUUUGGUUCCUGAAAUUGGAGGUCGUGGAGUAGUACUGGUGGUGAUCUUUUCAGGGUGUUUGAGCGGGUUGUCCGUGGUGAAGUAUUUCUUGUACCAUAGAGCCAAUGGUGGAAACGGAGAGUAUUGGGUGAAUCGGGGCAGUUGGGAUGUCCAGUUAUGGGGCAAUAUGAGGUCCUGAAUGAUUAAAGGAAGUCAUGAGGAGAAGUUAUGAGGGCUUCAUCUGUGAUUCUGAGUAUUUGGUAUUGCUAGGUUUCUAAUCGGGGAGAUCAUCAAGCGUUGCGUAGCUCAAUCAGAGAAUAGAUGCGAUGUUAUUAAUGGAAGCAGUUUGUGGAUGGAUUGAAAGUGCGCCAAUUGGCGAUGGUUCGAACCCUAAGUGGGGGAGAACCAGGUAAUUGCUGAAGGGAUUUGAGAAUUGCGCAGAGGCAGUUAGAGGACUGGUUAUAGUGAUUAUGUGGCAGAUUCAUGGGUUCAGGGCUAAAUUGGUGGAUAGGGUGAGGUGCAAGUGAGAUGAUGCAUGUCGUGCAUGAUCAGGAAGGCAUGAGUGAUUCUACGGCAGGAGGCCGUUGGUUAGAGAGGUUGUUCAGGUCAGAAUUUCAGUGUGUAAAACAAGACGAGACAGUUAAGUCCUUAAGUUCAGAGAGCAGCAGCAGAGGUUGACAGGUAUAUGUUCAGAAUGUGAUCUCCUCACCAGGAAAAGCAACAAUUGGUCUGUUAGUUAAUUUUGGAGACGGUAUGAGUAAGAUGGUAUGAGUAGCGAUCGGCAAUGGGUGAAUUUCCGGGUCCUUGUAGUCGAGUUACGAGUUAAUGGCGAUGUCCUAUGUUCAAUUUGGAAAGGGAAUACUUCGAGGUUGCAAGUGUUGCAAGAUGAAGAUCGAUUUCGAGAUUCUAAUGAAGGGAGGCAGUAUCCGUGUAUGAUGUUGUGAGUGUGAGAUCAGUGAUUGAGAUAAGGCAUCGUGGGAUGUUGUGAUGGUGUCCUGAAGUAUCGGAAUAUGUUGUCAUUAAGUUCGGAUUAUUUUGGAAUUGUGAGUCGGAGGCAGAUAGUGGGUAUCAAGUGAGUACGGUUCCGGUGAGAACCCUAUGGCCAAAUGACAUCAGGUGAGAUUAUUCGGGAAGGUGGUUUGCAGCAGGGAAAGGUGUGUUCGGAUGCUGUCAGAAAUAGCAGUGCAUAGCUUGAGUAGGUGUGUACACCUACGCAUGGCCGGUCCACAGGGCAUAAGUUCAUGAUUGCGGUGUGGCGUCUACGUGAAAGUGAGUUUAUGAAGAGGUAAGGGCUGGUGCGGUAAGACUGCGGGGAGCCGCAGUUCAGUGGCUUAGAGCAGAGGUUGUAGUGAUGCUACGGGGAGCCGUAGUAUUCACGGAUCAGAGAGGUUAGGGUGAUGCUACGGAGAGCCGUAGUAUUCACGGAUCAGGGAGGUUGGUGUAACGACCCGUCUCUGGUAAGUUGCUUCCAUGAUAUUUAUUUAUAAGUUUUCAAGAGGGACUCGGCGAGUCUAUAGCCCGACUCGUCGAGUAGGGACGGGAUUUCGAGCACGUGUAAGUCGGCGACUCGGCGAGUCCAUAUUCGGGANGCAGUCUGUGGAUGGAUUGAAAGUGCGCCAAUUGGCGAUGGUUCGAACCCUAAGUGGGGGAGAACCAGGUAAUUGCUGAAGGGAUUUGAGAAUUGUGCAGAGGCAGUUAGAGGACUGGUUAUAGUGAUUAUGUGGCAGAUUCAUGGGUUCAGGGCUAAAUUGGUGGAUAGGGUGAGGUGCAAGUGAGAUGAUGCAUGUCGUGCAUGAUCAGGAAGGCAUGAGUGAUUCUACGGCAGGAGGCCGUUGGUUAGAGAGGUUGUUCAGGUCAGAAUUUCAGUGUGUAAAACAAGACGAGACAGUUAAGUCCUUGAGUUCAGAGAGCGGCAGCAGAGGUUGACAGGUAUAUGUUCAGAAUGUGAUCUCCUCACCAGGAAAAGCAACAAUUGGUCUGUUAGUUAACUUUGGAGACGGUAUGAGUAAGAUGGUAUGAGUAGCGAUCGGCAAUGGGUGAAUUUUCGGGUCCUUGUAGUCGAGUUACGGGUUAAUGGCGAUGUCCUGUGUUCAAUUUGGAAAGGGAAUACUUCGAGGUUGCAAGUGUUGCAAGAUGAAGAUCGAUUUCGAGAUUCUAAUGAAGGGAGGCAGUAUCCGUGUAUGAUGCUGUGAGUGUGAGAUCAGUGAUUGAGAUAAGGCAUCGUGGGAUGUUGUGAUGGUGUCCUGAAGUAUCGGAAUAUGCUGUCAUUAAGUUCGGAUUAUUUUGGAAUUGUGAGUCGGAGGCAGAUAGUGGGUAUCAAGUGAGUACGGUUCCGGUGAGAACCCUAUGGCCAAAUGACAUCAGGUGAGAUUAUUCGGGAAGGUGGUUUGCAGCAGGGAAAGGUGUGUUCGGAUGCUGUCAGAAAUAGCAGUGCAUAGCUUGAGUAGGUGUGUACACCUACGCAUGGCCGGUCCACAGGGCAUAAGUUCAUGAUUGCGGUGUGGCGUCUACGUGAAAGUGAGUUUAUGAAGAGGUAAGGGCUGGUGCGGUAAGACUGCGGGGAGCCGCAGUUCAGUGGCUUAGAGCAGAGGUUGUAGUGAUGCUACGGGGAGCCGUAGUAUUCACGGAUCAGAGAGGUUAGGGUGAUGCUACGAGGAUCCGUAGUAUUCACGGAUCAGAGAGGUUGGGGUGAUGCUACGGGGAUCCGUAGUACUCACGGAUCAGAGAGAGGUUGUAGUGAUGCCACGGGGAGUCGUAGCAUGCACUAAUCAAGGAAGGGUUAAGAUACUGCGAGGGUGGUAGUACUCUCUAGUCAGUAAGAGAAUGUUGGGAUAAACUAUUCUAUGAUCCGAGCAUAACGCGGAAAGGUUUUUUUGGCUUGGAUAGCCCAAAUAUAUGAGGUAUGGGAGCCUGAUGGUUAAAUCAGGGACGAUAUUGUGGUUAUCUCAUUUGUCUGGAGUGGUUAUAUUGGAUGGAAUCGUGCUUGUUGUAGAUAAGUGAAUUAAGUAUGGGUUGCGAGUCAUCAGUCUCGAAAUGAGUGGUUCUUGGGGCGAGUGGUCCAACCCGGGGAUUGAUCAAAUUCUUGAGAUGAGUUUGAUUUUAGUAGUGCGCCGAGAAGGCGAUAUGAGGUUUCAGAUUCAGAGAAUGAGCACUUUUCUGAAAAGUUAGUUGUCAUCUGGAAUCAAGACCAGAGGUUCAGUGUUUGGAUGGGAUAGUGCAGUGAGUUGCACGAAAUUCUUGAGCCUUAGAUGUCAAGUGUCAGGAGUGAGCUGAUAUUCGAGUGUGGAUGUUAGUGUUCGCUGGGGAUAGUGAGAAUUGGUGAUUUGUGUGUCACUAUGGGUUGAAACACUUGUUGUGAGAAGGAAGUGGUGUGUCAUGCAUGGAUCUUCUUGGGAUGUUCAAUAGUGAAAGUCAUGGGUAACCUGGUGCUCAGGGUUGGAAAGGGAGAUCUGGUAGGAAGUUGAGGCUUGAGAUUGCUAUACGUCAGUAGAUGAUUCUGAUUAAACAUAAACAUUUCCCUGAGUUCGAAGGAAAGGUUUUGAGAAGUCUUUGUUCAGACGAGAUUUCGAUGAUAGUGCAGGGGAUGGGUUCCUUGUGUAGCGUGAUCCUUUCGCUCCUUUGAGCGGGAUGAGGAGCACGUGGUGCGAGUGGUAUGGAUGAUCGAUAGUCGAUCGAUGGUUUUCGUUAGGAAGAAUCAGAGGAACAGUGAGUUGUCAGAAUUGAUGAUUCUGGUAGAAGGUGGCAUGAGGAUAAUUCGUACGGGAGGUGUCCUCUUUAGUGAUAUUGGUGUGGUAUGAGAUCCUACGGUGGUAUCUUACGGGUUAUUGGAUUCUAAUUAUGUGGGGUCAAGGAGCGAUUUCGAGGACGAAAUCUAAUUCAAGUGGGGGAGAAUUGUAACAUCCAGAUUCUUGGGUAUGUAUUAUAUUAUUUAUAUAUUUUCAUUUAAUCGAAGGGACUCGGCGAGUUGGUGGAUUAACUCGUCGAGUAGGGGCGCGAUCAGGUGACGUGUUUAAAUGAAUGGACUCGACGAGUCGAGCAUUGGACUCGCCGAGUCGGCGCUGUGGAGGAAAACCCUAAUUGUCCGGGUUUGGGACCUAUUUAAAGAGCCUUAGGGUCUUCAAUUGCGGCUAUCCUUACCCUGGAGAAACCCUAAAUCAUCCUUGAGAGCUUAGAGAGUAAAGAAGAGCCAUCUUGAGCAUUUUGGUGUGUCAUUUCUAAAGAGAAGAUGAGAUUCUAGCAAGAGGGACCAAAGGGGGUUGAUGUACUGAGGUUAUGAAGCCUGGAGCAUCACUUUGAGGUAACAAAUCGGACCAUUUCUCCUGUUUGACGUUGAUUUCAUGAAUCUAGGGUUUCUUAACCAUUCUCUUUAGAGGUUUAUGGAAUGUUUGAGGUCCCAAUGUGGAAUAAGCCUUAGAUCUGGACCAUGGGAGGUCCAGAGAGUCCCUUAUGUUCAGCUUUAUGCAGUCACAUAGAGAGUUUGAGCCUAGGUUUCCAUUUAGAUGGCUAUUUCUUCAUUUAUGGCUCUAAUCAUGAUGCAUGGACGUAAAGUUUGGACCUUUACGUGAUUUGUGGGUGCUAGAAGGAUAGAUCUACAAGUUGGUGAAGCAGAUCUGACCUCAGAAGGUCAGAUGAGUUUGGUCAUGGAGGAGACUCGCCGAGUCCAUAGGAGGACUCGACGAGUCGGAUCGAGUUUACCCGAGUUUCGUGAUCAGUUGAGACCCGAAGAGUUGGGUGGGUGACUCAGUGAGUCGAGUGAGACCUUGCGAGGAAUCUGAUUACGUGUGUGGACUCGCCGAGUCGUUUCCUGACUCGACGAGUCUGGUCAAAGUUGGACCGUUGACUUUUAGGGUUUAGUCAACCAGUGGACUAUUGGGCCAGGGGAGUGGUAGAAUGGUCUUUUACCUUUCUGGGAAGCAUAGUACGAGACUUGCCUAGCCUUUGAGAGCCACUGCUGAUUUAGAGUUAUUUAUUUAUGUGAUUAGGCGGCGGCUAGAUCGGUAUUUCGAGUUCGAGACUUUUCGAGAAUUACCCGAGUUGAGUCUUCUCAUUAUACAUUACCUUGAGUGGUAGUUAUGUGUGACCGGAGGGUCUUAUGUGCUUACAUUGAGUAUUAUGUUAUAUGUGAUAUGAUAUUCAUCAUGUCUUUGUGAUUUAUGCUAUGCGGAGUUUAUAGACCGGACCGGAGGGUCCAACGAUACAGACCAGACCGUAGGGUCCAACGAUACGGAACUGGAGGGUUCCGCUGAGACACACCGACCGGAGGGUCAUAUUGUAGCCUUGAGUGGCGUAUGUGUUGUAUGUGGUAUUUUGGGGAACUCACUAAGCUUCGUGCUUACCGUGUCAUGUGUUAUGUGUUUCAGGUUCUUCAGAAUCGUUGGAAGGCGGCGGCUCGAUUGUACACACACAAGAGAAAAGAGUGAUGAAUACAGAUCCUGAAAUUUCAUAAUGUUCUGAAAACCUUGUUGAUGAUUUUUAAAUAAAAAGUGUUUAUAUAGGAUAAUGUGCAUUUAUAUGAAAUAAAAAUGAAUAAAAUAAAUUUAAAAUUUUACGGUGUUACAAUAUCACAAUGCAUGAAAUGUAACACUUACAUGAAAUGAACUUACUGAAAUAAAGAUGUCGAAUGAUGGACAAAAUACAUGUAACACCUUUCUUUGGCUAAAUACUUAAUUUGACCAUAAAUAUAUCUUUACUUUGAGAUCCACUUGCUCUUAAUUAAUAUAUUGCCUUUAAAAAUCAUCAUUGGUUCAAAGGUAUUGGUCUCAUGCUUUACUAUAACCUACCAUUUAUCAUGAUUAUCUUACAUGGCCUCUACAUAACACUCGGGUUGUCCUCCAUCACUAAGUAAAACAUACGUUUCGGCAGAAUAUCACUUGAAGGGUGAUCAACUAUCAAAAUUCUAGGUGGGACAAAUUAUGGCAUAUCUAAGAAUAGUAAAUCCUUAUGAAAUCCUUAUCUUGGACUGCUCUUGAGACACUAGCAUCAUGGAUUGUGUUAAAAUAUUGUCUAAUAUAUGGAAUAAUGAUUAGGAGUGUUCAUUUGGAUGGAUCAGUUUAAUCCGAUCCGAUCAAGUGAAUCCAAAUUAAUUUCGGUUUUCAAAACGUAGAUCCAAAUAGUCCAAACUAAAUUCAAAUCCGAUCCGAUCCAAACAAAUUAUAAUUCGGUUGGAUCGGUUUUUUACAAUUCGGUUUUCAAGAAUCAAGACAUUUCAACAAAUAUAUAACUUUAGUAUUAACUUACUCUAUAAUAUAAACUAAAAAAUAUUGUUUAAUUAGUUGUGAACUAAAACUUAUAAAUAACUAUAAAGAAAAAUAUAUUAUAAUUUACUACUUUAUAGACAAUUUUUUUGAUAAGAAAUACAUAUUAAAGUACUAUAAUAGAUGAAAAUUUUUAAUAUAUUAAAAGAAUAAUUUAGUAAAUUUAUAAUUUAUUAAAGAUAUAUAUUAAAAGGACAAAAUAAUAAAUUGUAAUUCGGUUUUUUUGGACUAUUCGGUUUUUAUUUUAUAAACCAAAAUCAAUCCGAAAUCCAAAAUAAUAAUUCGGUUUUGGUAAAAACCAAUCCAAAAAUCCGAAUAUCCGAACCAAAUAGUCUGAUCCAAAUUGUCCAAUUGAACAAUUCGGUUUUAUCCAAAUAGUGAACAGUCCUAAUAGUGACUUAGGGGGUGUUUGGUAAGAUCUGAAUUUUUAAGAGAUCUGAAUUUCUAAAAGGGUCUGAAUUUUUAAGAUUUGAAUUUUGAACAUGUUGUUUGUUUAGAACCUUUGAAUUUUUGUGCUUAAUUAUAAAAAUAAUCAUUUUACUCUUCUAUAUUAUUUUUUGCAAAAUUAUAAAAACAUGAUACAAAAUCCAAAUUAAACAUAAAUCAAAAUUAAACAAUCAAACAUAAAUAUUUGACAAAUCUAUCCAAUUAUAACAAUCCAAAUUGUUUUGUUUUAAAUUAUAUGCUAAUAUUGAUCGUAUUACAGAAAUUGAUGUUAAUAUAUCUACAUACAAAUGCAACAAUCCAAAUAAACUUAAAAACUACAGCAAUAAACUUUAGAAAAAUCACAGUGAAAACCGCAUUCAUUAUCACCCUCAUCUUGAUUACAUCUUGGUCAUUAUCAAUCACCUGUAUCAAUUAAACAAAUGAUACAUCAGAUUUUAUCAUCCACAUUGAACAUUUAAGAGAGAAUAUUAAUAGAUCACAUAUAAAUAGAUUUUAUCAUCCACAUUGAACAUUUAAGAGAGAAUAUUAAUAGAUCUACAUAUAAAAAGUUUUUAUCAUCCAAGGUUUUUUUUCUGCAAAAAGAUCCAAGACAAAUAAAUUUAAAUAAAUCAUAAGUUGAAACAAUUUCAUUCCGGCAUUUAAAAUAAACAUAGGAAAGAAGUCAUAGCUGAUAAGUUAAACAAAAUCAAACCAAAAUCAGCAACAUUUCAUCAAAAUCAAACCAAAAUCAACAAUAUCUCAUCACAAUCAAACUAUAUUUCAAACCAAAUAAAUAAUGUCAGUAACAUAACCAUAAAUUCAACAAUUUUUAGAACACAAUUUUUAGAACCGACUACAAGCAUUUUAGCAAGUUUUACGACUGGGAAUAUGUUACUUUAAAUGAAAACCUAGUUUCUCUCUCUGCCGCCGACGACAAUCCUUUUCCCCGUUUUCCCCGUUUUUUCGACCCCUCUUGCGUCCCCCACUGAUAGUCCGAUGCCGGCUGACACAACAUCAUGCCGGCUGACACAACAUCAAGGAAAGCUCUACUUCCAAGGAAACCUCCGGAUCCCAAUAUACAAUCAACGUCAACAAUACCAAAGCCUGCAAUGAUGCAACGUAAACGACGCUCGACAAGUCCACAUGCACGAGACCAACGACCUGCUGUAUCUGCCAAGAUGUACCGCAACACUGGAAAUCAAGGAACUAACAACAUCUCCCCUUCUUUGAUGGAGAAACUUGACUCAAGAGGGUUGCUCAAGAAAAUUGAUCCAAUCAUACUAGCCGAUAACGAAACUGAUUCAAUAGACACACCUCUUUCUCCAGAACAACAGGUAACACAAAUCCCCACUAUGGCCAAACCUAAUCCUAAUUCUUCGUUGAACAUUACCCAACCUCCAAUCAUGAAUGAUACUGAAACAUCUGCUAGAACUUGGUUUGAGUUGGAUGAUUUAAAAUCAUUGAACACAGGUAAUCUGGUGUACAGUGGGAUCAGCAAGGAUACAGAACCCCAUGCUAAACCCAAUAAUCCUAAUAACCAUGCACAAAACACCCAUACAAAACCAACCUGUAAUGACGUUAACCCCACCAUCACUAUUGACAAUGCUUCACUUCCAAAUAACCAAUUCAGCCAGACCUUCACACCAAACCAGAAUGACCCUACCUCAGCCAAAGCCUAUCGAUCCUAUGCUAAUGUUACUUCCCUCGCAUCUCGAAGAUCAAAAGCUAAACUUCAGUACUUCCCUCCAAUCUCUACUGGAAUUGCUAAUAGCCCAGUGGUUAUUCCGAUCCAAUUAUGUGAACAAGCAAAUGAAAAACAUGCAAACACAUUAUUUGGUUACUUUAUAGGUGCUAAUCCCUCUUUUAUUACAGUGCGUGAAUAUGUGAAAAAUAAAUGGCCAUCAUGUGGUAUCACUGAUAUAAAAAGAAAUGGAAAGGGGUUCUACUUAUUCAAAUUUAGCAUUGAGCAAGGAAUGAUGAAUGUGCUACAAAGUGAUCACUGGAUGAUAAAGGAAGUCCCACUGUUCAUUCAAAGAUGGCAACCGGGUGCCUGUCUAACAAAAGCUAAACAUGACAAAGUUCCUGUAUGGGUAAAAAUCCAUGACAUCCCCCUGGAAGCAUGGAGUGUGGAGGGUAUUGGGAGAAUUGCUAGCAGGAUUGGAAUCCCCCUAGACAUGGAUACAUACACGGAAGAUAUGUGUGUUGAGGGCAAGGGGAGAUGUGCUUAUGCGAGGGUUCUAAUUGAAGUAUCAGCCAACAAACCAUGGGAGGAAGACAUAGAAGUUCAAACUUCGGACUUGACUACCAAAAAUGGUGUCAAACAUUCACUACAAUUAGAAUACUCGUGGGUUCCAACAAGAUGCGACAAAUGCAAAGUUUAUGACCAUUCCAAAAGCACAUGCCCACUACAAAUCAUGGAGACUCCUGUUGUUAAUACCGCCAAAGAAAAUAUUCCCCAUCCCAUCUUCGGUGCUAGUGCUGACACGGAAGGUUUCACUAUGGUCACAAAAAGGAAAAGAAACAUGGAAAGAACCAAAGGAAGAAGUAGAGGCCCACAAAAAUCUGUGAACACCUAUCCUAAACCUAAACCAAACACCCAACAAAAACCAACAACCAAAGAUAAUGAUAUCCAACACAUAGCCUCCAAUCUUGUGAAUAGUGCUGAUAAGGAAAAAGUUUCAGUCCUACAUAAAGAGAAAUUAGUAGCUACAGAAGAGGGCACCAAUGGGUUCAAAGUCGUAAAUAAUGAGUCAUAUGAGGAAGAAAUGAAUAUCGAAUUCAGUAAAGAGGAAGUGGAACCUGAAGGCGCUAAAAAGGAUAGUAACAUGAUGGAUAUAAUCCAUACUCACAACCGAUUCAAUUCCCUUGCUGCUGCUGAUGAUGAUGAGAAUCAAGGGUCGGGUGCGUCUAAACACCGUCUGGGAGAAAAUAUAGUGGAACACACCAAAAAGGUAAAUCAUGGGGCAACCAUGGAGAAUGUUGCCAAAAACAUCCUAGUUUCCCAAUGAUGAGAUCAAUGGUUUGGAAUGUUAGAGGAUUAUGCAACUCCUCUACUCAAAAAGAAGUUGUGUCGAUGUUGGAUAGAAAUGGGGUUUCGCUUUGUGCUCUCUUGGAAACAAGAAUGCAUAUUUCUCGUAUAAAUAAAGUUUGCAAGGGUAUAAAAGGUAAUUGGCAAUGGUACUCUAAUGCUAGCUUGUGUAGUAGAGGUACUAGAAUUGCUAUUGGCUGGGAUCCAGGGGCAUGGGAUGUUUUUGUUAUUCAUAGUUUUGACAAAGUCGUGCACUGUAGAGUUCACUCUAAAAACUCUAACCACACUUUUUUCAUGUCCUUUGUUUAUGCUGAUAAUGACUAUCAUGAUAGAAGAAAACUUUGGGACUACCUGCGGAUUCAUCAAUCCCUAGUCAAAGAUGAACCUUGGUUAAUUGCAGGUGAUUUUAACCAAGUUCUUAAGCCGAGUGAAUCUACUAGAUCAAGCUCCUUUGAUAACUUUAUGACUGAUUUUCAGAGAUGCAUCAAUGAUACUAAUCUUGUCGAUAUAAAUGCCACUGGCCUAUAUUAUACUUGGAACGAGAAACCUCGUGGGAUUGGUGGGCUUCUUAGGAAACUAGAUAGGACUAUGGGUAACACCAACAUCUUAUCUAUGUUUCCCAAACUUCAUGUUAUGUACAAGCCAAAUGGCAUUUCGGACCACUCCCCUGCCCUUAUAAACUUCCCAAUUGGCAAAUCGAAAAAGUAUUAUGAUUUCAAGUUUGUUAAUAAUAUUACCAAUCAUCCUCAGUUUCAUGAUACGGUGCAAUCAAUAUGGGGAAAUAGGGUUGAAGGUCACUCCAUGUAUUCGGUUGUUCAAAAACUAAAGAAACUCAAACCCCCCAUACGUAAGCUUGGUCAACAAAUGGGAAACCCUUCUCACAAGGUGGAAGCACUGAGAGUCGAACUUGAAAGAGCCCAAGAACAUUUAGAUAGAGACCCCGAUAAUGAAGAGGUUAGUGUUGAGCAUGAAAAGUAUCUGGAAGACUUCACCAAAGCCUUAUGUGAAGAAGAAUGCUUCCUAAGACAAAAAGCGAAACUUAAUUGGCUUAAACAAGGAGACCGGAAUACCAAAUAUUACCAUAAAGUCAUUAAAGAGAGACAAAGCCAAAAUAAAAUCAAUUCUAUUACUGAUGGUGAUGGUGUGAUGCAUGGGGCUGAUAAGGUCGCUGAUAUUGCUAUUGCUCAUUUCUCUGAUUUCCUUGGGAAAGCUAGAGAUGUUGAUCCUAUGAUCUCCCCUAACGACCUUUUCAGCAAUAGUCUAACGAAUGAGGAUGCUAGCUGGAUGGUUAGACCAAUUGGUGAUGAAGAAAUCAAACAAGCCAUGUUUGACAUUGGGAAUGACAAAGCACUAGGACCAGAUGGGUACACUUCUACGUUUUUUAAAAAGACAUGGCAUAUAGUGGGGAAAGAAGUGUGCAAAGCAGUCAAAGAAUUCUUUCUCAAUGGUCAACUUUUACAAGCUGUUAAUCAUACGAUCUUAUCCCUCAUCCCAAAGGUGGAAGUCCCCAACACCAUGAAGGAUUUUCGCCCCAUAUCUUGCUGCAAUGUCAUAUACAAAUGCAUCACAAAGAUCAUAGUGACCAGAAUUGCCCCUUUUCUUCACAAUUUGGUUGAUGUGAACCAAUCCGCCUUCAUUCCGGGUAGAGCUAUUACUGAUAACAUCCUUCUUUCACAGGAAUUGAUGCGAGGAUACAAUCGUAAACAUGGAAGCCCCAGAUGUGCUCUUAAAGUUGACAUCCAAAAAGCAUAUAAUACUGUAAACUGGAGUUUUUUGGAACAAAUUCUAUCGGGUUUCGGAUUCCACCAUAGAAUGUUCCAAUGGAUAAUGAAGUGCGUCUUGACCACCUCUUUCUCCAUAAGCAUUAAUGGAGAAAAUAAAGGGUAUUUCAUGGGGCAAAGGGGGCUUAGACAGGGUGAUCCAACGUCGCCUUAUCUCUUCACUUUAAUCAUGGAGGUUUUUGACCUUAUGAUCAAAAGGCGCAUACAACAGAACCCAAAACACAAAUAUCAUUGGAGGUGCGGGAAACAAAAGCUAACACAUCUUUGUUUUGCAGAUGAUCUUUUAAUUUUCAGCCAUGGGAGUAUUCAAGUUGUCCAGGUGAUCAAAGACUCUUUACAAGAGUUCCAGGCAGUGUCGGGUUUGAUUCCUAAUCCUCAAAAAAGGUAGGUUUUUUUUGGCAAGAUCAAUGAUGCUUUAAAAACCCAAAUUUCGAAUAUUAUGGGUUUUGAGGAAGAAAAACUCCCUGUUCGAUAUCUCGGUAUUCCUUUGAUUGGUACAAGAAUGCUUAACAAGGACUGUAAUAAACUUGUGGAGCAAGUGAAAGCGCAAAUUCAGAAUUGGAAGCAUAGAGCUUUGUCCUUUGCGGGAAGAUUACAACUCGUUAACUCGAUGCUCCAAUCCCUCCAAGUUUAUUGGUUUUCGGUCCUCCUCUUUCCUAAAACAACCAUUAAAGAUAUCGAAAAAGUCUUUAAGGGUUUCCUAUGGAGUGGAGGUGAAUUGAAGAAAGGAAGUGCUAAGAUUGCUUGGACAAUGGUGUGUAGACCUAAAGAUGAAGGAGGAAUGGGAAUCUGCAAUUUGCAGACUUGGAAUGAAGCUCUUUUAUCUCAUCAAAUUUGGAGACUAUUUACUGCAAAAAAACUCUCUUUGGGUCGAUUGGGUAAAAAUCCACCAUCUUAGAAACCAAACGUUCUGGGAGGUUAAAAGCAAGGAUCUCGAGGGCUUCUCGUGGUCUAACCUGCUUUCCUUGCACGACAAGAUUUGGAAACACAUAUGGCGAAUACCCGGGGAUGGAACUAGCAUCAACCUAUGGUAUGAUAAUUGGCAUGCAGGUGGCCCUUUGAUUAACAUUAUCCCGACAGAUGAGAGGAACCUUCAUGGACUCUCAAGUGAGCUCACCUUGCAACAAUUUUGCAGUAAUCAUAGUUCGUGGUUGCCUUGGGGAUGGGACUUGCGGUUUCCUAAUCUCAAACUUUAGAAUAUCCCUAAUCUUCAACACAACAAAGACGAUGGGGUUUAUUGGCGGGACCUUGAAGGAAGGAAUGUUAAGUUCUCUCCUACUCAAGUUUGGCAGGAUAUUAGAAUAAUUAGCCCGAUUGUUCCUUGGUAUAAGGUGGUUUGGUUUAAGCUCAACAUUCCAAGCCAUGCUUUUAUUUUCUGGCUAGCCAUACAUGACAGACUGAUGACUCAGGAGAGAAUGAAUCUAUGGCAAAAUUCGGCAAAUCUGCAGUGUCUGUUUUGCAAGAUAGUGCCUGACUCGACGUCCCAUUUAUUCUUUGAGUGUCAGUAUUCAAGAGAGGUUUGGAACAAAGUGUGUAAUAUGUGUAACAUCCAAAUCCCGGACUUUAGAUUGAAGCAAAUAAUUGAGUAUCAAAUCCCUCGCCUCCAGAAAAAACACAUCCAAGUAGAUAUUGAGAUACUUACUCUGGCUGCCAUGAUAUAUUUUAUAUGGAAGGAGAGGAACUCUCGCUAUCAUAAUGGCAAUAGCAUUCCCCACGCUAAACUUGCUAAUGAAGUCUUCAAUAACUUGAAAGCUCGUUUAUGUGGAGUUCCUCUCAAAUGGUCUAUCCCAGUAGAAGAAGUGUAUAAAAAUUGGAAAAUCCCAAGGCCUAGCAAUUGGCCUCCAAUCAAUGAUAGUGAUCAUGUUGCUUAAUAACGCUUAUGGGAGGAUGUUCCUAUGCGACUUUCUGGUCUUUUGGCUUGUGGGCGUUAUGAGUAUCAGUAUUUUUCUGUGUAACUUUCUUACUUAUGUUAUAGUUCGAGGACCAACUAAUGGCAUGUCCUCCUAUUAGGGUGUUUCCCUUUGUAUCUUGUAUUGUAUAAGUUUUUUUUUCCUUAAUGCAUUUACUGGAGUGUAACACCGUAAAUUUCAAAAACAAUUUUCGCACAAAUCAUUCAUUAUUCAUAAAACAUCAUUGUUUGAAACUCAAAUUCAUAAAAAAAAUCCCAAGAUCUCAUAACAUAAAAAUCUCGUGUGUGUACUGAUCAAGCCGGCGCCUUCCCGCGAUCCUCACUAGUACCUGAAACAAAUAACACCAAACACUGUAAGCACAAAGCUUAGUGAGUUCCCCAAAAUACCACACAUAGCACAUAUUAGCCACUCGAGGCUANAUCAUUUUAGCCACUCGAGGCUAUAACUCUGUGGGUCUGUGGACCCUACUCUGUGAACCCUCUAGUUCUAACUCUGUGAACCUUCCGGUUCUAACUCUAUAAGUAUGCACGGCAUAAAUCACACAGAAAUAAUGCAGUACAACACAUAUCAUAUAUAUAUAUAUAUAGCAUACAAAUACUCUGUCACAUAACUCUGGUUACCUACUCAAGGUAAAGUAUAGUGAGAAGACUCAUCUCGCAUAUCUCGGUAACUCGUAAAUCCCUGAAAUCACUAGUGCUCAAUCUCCCGAGUCUCUAUGGGGACCCGAUUCCUCUGAGUCCCUUCCGACUCACCGAGUCACUCACCCGACUCGGUUACUCAACCCCUGAUUCGAAAUCACUGAACAACCCGCACCAACUAGUCGAGUCUGCCAAUAGACUCGGCGAGUGCAUUCCAUGUACAACCCCAAACGACCUUCUGAGGUCAGAUCUGUUCCACUAACUCAUAGAUCUAGUCCUUCCAAGCUUAUUUAUCACGUAAAGUUCAUGUCUUGGUGCUUAUAUCACACCUAAUGACUCAUAAAUGGUGUUUUAACCUCAAGCACAAAGAUCCCAAACCAAAACCUCCAUGGAUUCAUAAAAAGCUUGGACAAAGGGACACUUUGGACCUCCAAGGGUCCAGAUCCAGAACCUAACUCGCUUAAGGGACCAAGGGAGCACUAGAUCUAGCCACAAAAGGACUCAAUAAGCCCUAAAUCAACAUGAACAUCACCUCAACAGAAAAGGGUUCUAAAAUAGUACCUCAAACGUGAUGUUCUGGACCUCAGAUCUUCAGGAAGUUAACCCUCUUGCUUCCUCUUGGCUAUAGCUUCCUUUCCCUUGCUAGACAACACCUCCAAGGUCAACAAUGGCUCCUUCUCUCACUCCAAACGCUCAAGCUCACUAGGGUUUUGCUCUGGGGGGUGGUGAGCACAAAUGACGGCCAUAAGCCCCUUUAAAUAGGCCCCAGAACCGAGGAAUUAGGGUUUCAUUAAACAGUGUGGACUCGCCAAGUCUACCCUUGGACUCGCCGAGUCUAGACGCGAACCCGCGUACAAAAACCGCGACCCUACUCGNGGGAAUCUGGGUGUUACAAUUCUCCCCCACUAGAAUCAGACUUCGCCCUCGAAGUCUCACUCUGCAAAUAACUCCGGAUGCUGCUCACGCAUCUCACGCUCCGGCUCCCAAGUUAACUCUGACCCUUUCCGAUGCUGCCACUGGACCUGCACCAGUGGCACCUCUUUAUUCCUCAGGACCUUGACCUUCUGAUCUCUGAUCACCACUGGUCUCUCAGCGUAAUUCAGGCUCGCAUCCACCUGAAUAUCUUCUAGUGGCAUAUAUCACCCUCUCGUCAGCUAUGGAAACUCUCAGAGGCCGACUCAACGCCUCACGACUAAUACUGAUAUGCUGACUAAAAGCCAAAGAUACAAAAGACCGACUCGCACCCGAGUCAAAUAACACCAAGGCAGGUACAGAAUUCACAAGAAAAGUACCAGCCACGACAUCGGGCGCUGCGCAGACCUCCUCUGCGGUCANGCUCUCCCUCGUGCCCUCGGCGCCUCGGCCUUCACUGGCCGACUCUCGGUAGCUCUGAUGGCGGCAGGGGCAGAUCCCUGAGGUGCUCCCUGAGCUGAUCCGCGCAACUGCGGACACUCUGCCUUCCAGUGUCCGGUCUGGUUGCAGUGAAAACUAACUGCAAACCCCUUAGGGCGGUCCUUGGCCAUAUUCCCCUCCUUGCCACACAUGUAGCAAGAUCCAGCCCUACAAUCUCCAUCAUGAACCUUGCCGAACUUUCCACAAGUGCGGUCCUUCUGGCUCCCUGCUUUGGGAUCAGCGGGCUUGACCCGCUUGGCUGUCGGCUGGGACUGUGCCGGUCUCCGAUCCUUCCCCUGAGACUCCGCCUCCUCCCUAGCCUGAGUCUCUAGCUCGAUCUCCCUCUUCCGGGCAUUUGCCUGAAGCUCGGCAAAUGUCCGGUACGAGGAGCUCGCCACGAACUCCCGUAUAUCCCUCCUCAAAAUACUCAAAUAUCGGCUCAUACGUGCCUGCUCAGUAGACACGUGCUCAGGGCAUAACAUUGCCCUCUCAUGAAACAUCCUGGUAAUCACCGUAAUAGACUCAGUACCCUGCUUAAGGGUCAGAAACUCCUGGGCCAAACGCUCCCUCUCCACCUGGGGAACGUACUCAUCUCGGAACAUGGCAGUGAACCUCUCCCAGGUCACUGCCGCAAGCUCAGCAGGCGUAUAGUGCGCCGUGACAAACUUCCACCAGUCCUUCGCUCCCAAGCGAAGCUGGUUCAGCGCAAACCGGACUCUCAAAUGCUCAGGAGAUGAGCAAGUAAAGAAACACCCCUCUAUGUCUGAAAUCCAUCUCAUAGCCGCCCCCGGGUCCUGGGUCCCGUCAAACUCCGGCGGUUUUGUGUUGUUGAACUCUCGGAACAGCAACGCAUCACCACCCUGCGGCCUCGUGGCAGCAACAGUAGCCUCAGAAAGAGCAGCAUAACGCUCGUCAAAAGUCUCAAUCAACGUGGUCUUAAUAGACCCAAACAUCUCUGGUAUCUCUGACCUGAUGGCCGCAGCCACCUCCUUGCUCCUCAUGGAUGAUCCGACGGAUCUCCUCAUCACUAGCCCCACUGCUCUCUGGCAUAAGACGUGUCCUCACCAUGAUCUACCUCUAAAAUACAACAUACGAUAAUUUAGAAACCCAUUCGAGCAUACUUACACUCGACAACUCAUCCCUCCUUGACCCCUGGCCUCCCGAAGAUUCUUACUUGGACUGUACACCGCCCCGGUGUUUUCAGUAGUACGGGCCCAAUACUACUGUCCGCACCGUAUCAGUAUACACCCCAAGUCCUCCUCUUCGGAUCCCAAGUCCCAAGUACUCUAUUAUGCAUAAUCCACUCUCUAACAGAUCUCUCAUAAGCUCUUUGCUGCUACCUACUCACUCUCAAGCAUGUCAUAGCAGCUCACCUCUCCCUAGGCUAAGGCAUCACAAAUCAGGCCACUCUAGUCCUAAUAGGAGUACCUAGCCCACUCUAGCAUGAGAAUACAUCAUAUCAAUAUCAUAACAUAUAAUAUAAGGGUAUCUUGGGAAAUCACCGUUCGGGUGCUGACUGAUCGUACACACGACUCUGCUCUGCGUUUUCCAAAAAUCUUUUACUCUUUUUGAAAAUAUUUCUCAAAUCCUCAGUUUGAGUUCAAAUACGCCCGAAGGUGUACUCGAAUCCCUCAAACCAAGGCUCUGAUACCAACUUGUAACACCGUAAAUUUCAAAAACAAUUUUCGCAAAAUUCAUUCAUUAUUCAUAAAACAUCAUUGUUUGAAACUCAAAUUCAUAAAAAAAAUCCCAAGAUCUCAUAACAUAAAAAUCUCGUGUGUGUACUAAUCAGGCCAGCGCCUUCCCGCGAUCCUCACUAGUACCUGAAACAAAUAACACCAAACACUGUAAGCACAAAGAUUAGUGAGUUCCCCAAAAUACCACACGUAACACAUACUAGCCACUUGAGGCUAUAACUAUGUGGGUCCGUGGACCCUACUUUGUGAACCCUCUAGUUCUAACUCUGUGAACCUUCCGGUUCUAACUCUAUAAGCAUGCACGGCAUAACUCACAUAGAAAUAAUGCAGUACAACACAUAUCAUAUAUAUAUAUAUAUAUAUAUAUAUAUAGCAUACAAAUACUCUGUCACAUAACUCUGGUUACCUACUCAAGGUAAAGUAUAGUGAGAAGACUCACCUCGCGUAUCUCGGUAACUCGUAAAUCCCUGAAAUCACUAGUGCUUGAUCUCCCGAGCUAUAGUCCUCCUAUAACACCAAUACAUCUCUAAUUAACACUUUCCCAACUAGGGUUGACUAACCCUAUCAAGUCAACACCGGUCAACUCUGGUCAAUGGUCAACGGUCAACCCAACUCGCCGAGUCUGGCGUGGACUCGUCGAGUCUCUAUGGGGACCCGAUUCCUCUGAGUCCCUUCCGACUCACCGAGUCACUCACCCGACUCGGUUACUCAACCCCUGAUUCGAAAUCACUAAACAACCCGCACCAACUCGUCGAGUCUGCCAAUAGACUCGGCGAGUGCAUUCCAUGCACAACCCCAAACGACCUUCUGAGGUCAGAUCUGUUCCACUAACUCAUAGAUCCAGUCCUUCCAAGCUUAUUUAUCACGUAAAGUUCAUGUCUUGGUGCUUAUAUCACACCUAAUGACUCAUAAAUGGUGUUUUAACCUCAAGCACAAAGAUCCCAAACCAAAACCUCCAUGGAUUCAUAAAAAGCUUGGACAAAGGGACACUUUGGACCUCCAAGGGUCCAGAUCCAGAACCUAACUCGCUUAAGGGACCAAGGGAGCACUAGAUCUAGCCACAAAAGGACUCAAUAAGCCCUAAAUCAACAUGAACAUCACCUCAACAGAAAAGGGUUCUAAAAUAGUACCUCAAACGUGAUGUUCUGGACCUCAGAUCUUCAGGAAGUUAACCCUCUUGCUUCCUCUUGGCUAUAGCUUCCUUUCCCUUGCUAGACAACACCUCCAAGGUCGACAAUGGCUCCUUCUCUCACUCCAAACGCUCAAGCUCACUAGGGUUUUGCUCUGGGGGCUGGUGAGCACAAAUGACGGCCAUAAGCCCCUUUAAAUAGGCCCCAGACCCGAGGAAUUAGGGUUUCAUUAAACAACGUGGACUCGCCGAGUCCACUCUUGGACUCACCGAGUCCAGAAGCGAACCCGCAUACAAAAACCACGACCCUACUCGGUGAGUUUAGACUCCAACUCGCCGAGUCUCCUCACAACACCCAAAAAUAAAAGAAUGAAAAUAAUACCCGGGAAUCCGGAUGUUACAUGGAGGUUUUUCCUCUUUUCCAAAAAAACGUUUUACGACCGAUUUUAAGGCCAUUUCACCAGUUUCAACAAGAAAAAUCAAAAGAAAACAUGAGAUUAUAAAGAAGAAUACCGAUUUCAGAAGAUUAGGUGUGUUGCGGCUGUGCGAAGUGUUGUAUGACAGAGAUGCUCAACGGAGGAGGUGUGCGGAGACCUGAGGGACGCCGACAUCAGUCCUUUGACGUCCGAGAUGCAACGUCAAAGAUGCAGGGGUGGAGCAGCAGUCGGAUCCGACGACGACGACGAUUGCAGUGAGGAACGGAGACGACACCGGCGACGGAGAUGGCAGGGAGGAACGAAGGUUCAACAGAUGGUGAUGGAGGAUUUGGCAGUGUCCAUCGAUGAAAAAGAAAAAGGUGGAGGCGUUCUAGUGAGAAGAAAAGAAAGACGUGAAUUAGGUCAGUUCCAUUAUUUUUUUUUUUCAGACGCGGAUAUAAAUCUGAAAAAUUAAGAGUCUUUUAUCCAAUUCAGAUGUAUUUUUAAGAGGUUACCAAACGAGCUACAUCUGAAUUUUUAAGAGGUUACCUUUUAAGUUUUUAAUUAAGAGGUAAACAAACGGAGCCUUAGAGAUACUAUAAGAAUCGAUAUUUUUUAGAUAUUUAUAUUGUAGAAUGAUAUUUUUUAUGUAAAGGGCAUUUUGGUCCUUUUGAUUAUAUUUAAAAUUGUAGGAUGAUAUUAUGUGUACUAGAUGGGUUUAUGAUAUGUUUAGAAGUUGUCUAAUGUGUUAUGUUGGUUGAUGAAAGGAAUAGAGUUGACAUAAAUGAGAUUGGGAUUGAAAGGUAUUAAAAAUGGAAUUGAAAGGUUGUUUCCAGCCUCACCACGGCACAGUGAGUGAGGCGGUAAUUUUGGUGUUUCUCUAUCAUAAGUCGUGGGCAACGAGCUUUGCUCCGCGAUGUGGUGUAUGGGCAUCAUGGUGUAGUGGGAAAAGUAGGUUGCUAAGGAGAAUGGUUGCUACAACAUGGCAAAAAGGGAGACUGUAGGUUCCACAUAAAAAAAUGUUGAAAUUGAUCUUUAUAGCUCAUUUAGGUAAAUUUGCAAAGUACACAAAAUAAAUCAUUACAACAUACAAAAAAAUUUCUAGCUUCAGCAUCAACCUCGAUUGAAAUCGGUGUAUAUAGGAAAAUUAGGUUUUUUGGGUCUGUGUGUAACACUCUAAAAAUUCCAACCUAUUUAAACUUUUCAAAAACAACCCAAAUUCAUAAAGUUAUUACAAAAAGGUUUUCAAUACAUUUAUUAUCAGAGUAUUUUCCAGAAACCACAUCGUAAACACAUAAAACUCGAGGAGCGGUACGAUCAUGCAUUUGCCUUGCCACGGUCUCCUGAAGUACCUGAAACAUUUAAACCACGACUGUAAGCCCGAAAGCUUAGUGAGAUACCCCCAAAAUACCAACGCCAUACAAACAUAACCAUAUCAUAUAACCGAUACAGAACAGCCAUGCACUUCGGGUCUACUGUGUGACUGGUCCGCCGCACCGGCCUACAGUCCACCUGGUCCACCCUANNNNNNNNNNNNNNNNNNNNNNNNNNNNNNNNNNNNNNNNNNNNNAGCCUCGGCACAUCUGGUCUUCCCUCGUGGGGCCUACAGCCUAUCCGGACCGCUCGCUGGGCCUGCGGGAUAACCGGUCCGCCCUGGGUAUGUUGGCCUACAGCACAAAGCAGGACCCGCCACAACCCAACUCCAGCCCAACAACCAUGUGCACAUAAAUAUACAAUCAUAUAACAAUACGCAUCCAAUCAAACCGAUCUAGCAUAUCACAUAACAUAACAUCAUCCUAACCAGGAUACCGACCUAACCGGUCACUAGCAUAGCAUCAUCCUAUAUACCAGGAUACCGACCUUAACCAGGUCUCUAACAUAUACCAUCCUAACUACCAGAAUGCAAACAUAGCAAAGCAAUAACAUAACAACAAUACCCGAAUUACAAUCCGAUAAAGGGUCGGCCUUGGUGCCUUACACCCUGUUGAUAUAGAGAGGAUAACUCACCUCGCAACUGCUGACUGAAAAGGAUAAGAUCACGCUGCCCCAACCUCCGACACGAACUCCACCACUGAUCAAUACCAAAAGACUGAACUCAAUAAAUACCCAUAAUUACCAAAAUACCCCUGGAAGUCAACUGGUCAACUCUUGGUCAAAGUCAAAGUCCUCAGUCAAAGUCAACCCUCCUGGCUGACUCUACUCGCCGAGUCAACCUGCUGACUCGUCAAGUCCCCAUGCUCUGAAACUCCCAUAACACGACUCAACUCGCCGAGUCGCCCCAAGACUCGCCGAGUACCACUAGCUCUUAACCCAUACAGAGGCUUUCCAAGCCAUGCAGGGUCUCAAAUCCAUAGAUAUACUCUUAUACACGCCAUCUAUCACGUAAAGUAGCAAAAUUUACGUGAAUCCAAGGAGAUCUAAGCAUAAUACACUCUUGGCUAAGGUUUGUGACUAAAAGGCUUCAUCAACAGCUCUUGAACAGGGACUUUAUGCUCUUUUGGAUCAUCACUACUCUAGAUCUGAGGUAGCAACCUCAGAUCCAACCUUCAAACUCAAGAUAGCACUAGAUAAAUUCCCAAAAAUCCCACAAAUGAUAGAUCUAGAUGGAUAACAGCUCAAGCAACGAAUCCUUACCUCCAAAGAAGACUCCAACAGAAGAAUAAGCCAAAACCUUGCAAAGCCCCUUGCUCCAAGCCUCUUAAUCUUCAAAGAUUUCUUCAACCAACACUCCCUCAAGACCCAAAUGCUCUCUAAUUCUCUCACACACGAAAAUUAAGGUUUCUGGACUUCAAGGGGGAGCAAAGAGGCUGGAGAGAGGGUAUUAUGUUCUUUAUAUAGGGCUCAAUCCCUGGGAUUAGAGUUUUCUCCACACAACACCAACUUGCCGAGUCCAGCCGCCGACUCGCUGAGUUGGCCACUUAACACGCAACCAGAAUCGUGACCCUACUCGCCGAGUCCACCCAUGGACUCGCCGAGUUGACCAUUCACAUUUUCACUUUAAACCCUAAACUUGCACUCCUAAACUUAGGAUGUUACACUGUGAUUUAUAUGUUUUGAUACGUGAAAUAGAAUACAUUUUUAGGCAACCACGUAAUCACCUUUGUAGGUGUUGAGAAGUCCACGUUAUGUUUAUAUUAUGUCAAAUAUACAAUGUGAACAAAUUGUCAUUGUUGAUAAUGGCACAGUGAAGCUUUGGGAAAAAGAAGAAAGAUGUGGAGAAGACAUAAAGGUAGUGAGUCUAUAGUUGGAGGACCAAAAUGGAAAGUAAAAGAAAUUUUUGGGUGCAAUGACAAAAUUACCCUAGCAUACAUUUUGUGUGAGGGCACUUUACAACCAAAAUUAAAUAGGCAAUAUGAAAUGAAGCUUAAAAAUAAGCACCUUUCUUAGAAUAAGAUUUCUAUUUUGACUAAGAGCAUUGAACUUCAGCAAUUCUUGGAUGUCAUUUUUGAAGUUCAACCAUCGUUGAAUUUUCUUAAAUAUGUUUCAUUAAACUUUAUAGAGUUGAAAAUUAUAGAGUUGAAAAAGAUGAUAAAGUUAAAUGUAAAGUAAAAUUCAUGACGUGGUAAUCCAUUAAAUUGUAUAGAGUUCAAUGUUAGAAUGCCAAAACCAACAAAAGUGCAUAAACACAUGACCUUUCAUAAUGUUUACUCAUAUUAAAUUUCAUAAUAUAAGCACCAAAAAUGUUAUAAAACAAUGAAAUAAUGACAAAACUCGCACAAAAAAAUAAUAAACCUUAAUAAAUAAUAGCUAAACAGAUCAUAUUUGUAAUUUGCUUUAUUAUUUCUCGUUUUAAUUUUUUGUGGCUCAAAUCAACGGACAAGAAAUUCGAGACCCACAUGGCAAAAGAAGAACCCAUUUCACCCUCAAUCAGAAACUAAAUCCAGUACACCAAUAAAACGAUGCUGACGUGUACUCAUCCUAAUCCAUCAGUCUUUGUAAAUUCCAUAUAUAACCCUCCAAGGCUCCAAUCCUCUACCAUCUACAAUCAUCCUCUUCAUACCCCUCAAAGAAAUGGCAACCACUGCAAUCCAACAGUCAGCAUUCGCCGGCCAACAGGCCUUGAAGCCACAGAACGAGCUCGUCAGGAAGACCGGCAGCUUCAAUGGCGGCCGCUUCACCAUGCGCCGCACAGUCAAAAGUGCACCACAAAGCAUUUGGUAAAAUUCACAAAUCGAUGUUCUUCUUGUUUCCAAAUUCAUAUAUCGAUACCAGAACUAACUAACUGUAAUCACCAUCUUUAAACAGGUAUGGACCAGAUCGUCCAAAGUACUUGGGCCCAUUCUCGGAGCAAACCCCAUCAUACUUGACCGGUGAAUUCCCCGGUGACUACGGGUGGGACACCGCCGGACUUUCGGCUGACCCGGAGACAUUUGCCAAGAACCGUGAGCUCGAAGUGAUCCACUCUCGGUGGGCCAUGCUGGGUGCACUCGGGUGCGUCUUCCCCGAGCUUCUCUCCAAAAACGGUGUCACAUUCGGUGAAGCAGUCUGGUUCAAGGCGGGUUCCCAGAUUUUCUCAGAAGGUGGCCUUGACUACCUUGGAAACCCUAAUUUGAUCCAUGCCCAAAGCAUUCUUGCUAUCUGGGCAUCUCAGGUUGUCCUCAUGGGGCUCAUUGAAGGAUACCGGGUUGGUGGGGGUCCGCUUGGUGAAGGCCUUGAUAAGAUUUAUCCGGGUGGGUCUUUUGACCCGCUUGGAUUGGCUGAUGACCCGGAAGCUUUUGCUGAAUUGAAGGUUAAGGAGCUUAAAAAUGGAAGAUUGGCGAUGUUUUCUAUGUUUGGGUUUUUUGUUCAGGCUAUUGUUACAGGGAAGGGUCCGAUUGAGAAUUUGUUUGACCAUCUUGCUGACCCGGUUGCUAACAAUGCUUGGGCUUAUGCUACCAACUUUGUGCCCGGAAAAUGAGUUGNAGAAACGGAUUUGGGAUAUAUAACAAAAGCUGUGAAAAAUAACAGGCUAUACCGACGACAUGUCGUCGGUACAGCUUCGCAACAGUAAAAACAGUUUUCACCUUUCCAGAUGACAUAUCGUCGGUAUUACACACAUUUUUCCCGACGACAAGUCGUCGGUAAGUCCCAAAUAAAAAAAUUUCGUAUUUCCUCGAAAAUCAAUCCUGACGACUUGUCGUCUGGAUUGGUUAUUCUAUACCGAUGACUCCUGUCCCGACAACAUUUUCGACUUUUAACGACGACUUUUUACAGACGACAUGUCGUCGGUAUAAGCUUUACCGACGACAGUACAGGGUCCCUAAUUGUCGUUUGCAUAGGGCUCGAUCCUUGUAGUGGUGGUCAAGGCCAUCAUAGGCUUCAUAAUAAGUAGUGAAGAAUUUGCGCCACGUAUCAUAAUUGUGUCGACUGCGAUAGAGAAGGAUGGGUAUGUGAGCCUUAAUAUUUGUAACAACAAAAGCUUUAUGAAUUUGAAGAGUAGUACUCAAUCUGCAUCACCUUCUUCCACUGUAUGGUGUUGUAUGGUGUCUUUCAUCCUAAUUCCUAAGGCUUUCAGAUAAGUUUCUACUUCUUCAUUUUCAGCAUCAGUAAGUAAUUUACUGACAGAGAAUAUGUAAACUCGUGCUUUGUAUUCUUAACGGUAAUGAGGAAAAUGGAGAAUCAGACUCCACAACUCAACAUGUUAAAACUAAAGCACUUACAAAUGGUAACGAUCGAAUUUUGGAGUCACUACAUGAUAGUGGAUUUCACACUCAAAUUUUAACUAGUACAAAAUUAACUUACAAAAUAGAAUGAAAUAAGUAAUUAGUAACCAUUAAAGGUCGUCCAUUUCGUUUGUGAUUAUGAAACAAGAUGAAAUUGUUAAGUGCUACAGAAUAAAAAAUUUUGAGAGUUCAAACACUUGCACCAACAAAUUUUAUUUUAUUUUAUUUCUUUUUUCAUUGUGGAAGACUAAUAAUCAAAUCGCACUUCAUUUCCAAAUCAGUGGUCUAUUAGAAAUUGGUCUUUUUCUAUUUUCCUUUUACACUUUCAAUUUCUCAUUGGUGAUUUUCGUGAGGUCGUGUGAAUUGCAGAUGAAGAAGCAUAUGCAUCUCGUUGUUGAUUUUGAAUAGGCUCUUCAACCUGUAAUCUACUAUAUUAUUCGUUUUUAUUUUUGGUGGCUGAGAAUCAACGCAUCAAGAAAUCAGAGAACCACGUGGCAGAAAGAAGGACCGCCAUAUCACCUCUCAAAAUCAGAAACCAAAUCCAGUAAACCAAUGAGAUGAUGCUGACUUGUACUCAACCUAAUCCAUCCAUCUUAUUAAAUUCCUUAUAUAACCCUCCAUUACUCUCCACCACACACAUCAACUACAAACUACCAUUUCUACAAACCCCUCAAAAGAAAUGGCAACCACCGCAAUCCAACAGUCAGCAUUCGCCGGCCAACAGGCCUUGAAGCCACAGAACGAGCUCGUCCGGAAGACCGGCAGCUUCAAUGGCGGCCGCUUCACCAUGCGCCGCACAGUCAAAAGUGCACCGCAAAGCAUUUGGUAAAACUCACAAAUCGAUGUUCUUCUUGUUUCCAAAUUCAUAUAUCGAUACCAGAACUAACUAACUGUAAUCACCAUCUUUAAACAGGUAUGGACCAGAUCGUCCAAAGUACUUGGGCCCAUUCUCGGAGCAAACCCCAUCAUACUUGACCGGUGAAUUCCCCGGUGACUACGGGUGGGACACCGCCGGACUUUCGGCUGACCCGGAGACAUUUGCCAAGAACCGUGAGCUCGAAGUGAUCCACUCUCGGUGGGCCAUGCUGGGUGCACUCGGGUGCGUCUUCCCCGAGCUUCUCUCCAAAAACGGUGUCACAUUCGGUGAAGCAGUCUGGUUCAAGGCGGGUUCCCAGAUUUUCUCAGAAGGUGGCCUUGACUACCUUGGAAACCCUAAUUUGAUCCAUGCCCAAAGCAUUCUUGCUAUCUGGGCAUCUCAGGUUGUCCUCAUGGGGCUCAUUGAAGGAUACCGGGUUGGUGGGGGUCCGCUUGGUGAAGGCCUUGAUAAGAUUUAUCCGGGUGGGUCUUUUGACCCGCUUGGAUUGGCUGAUGACCCGGAAGCUUUUGCUGAAUUGAAGGUUAAGGAGCUUAAAAAUGGAAGAUUGGCGAUGUUUUCUAUGUUUGGGUUUUUUGUUCAGGCUAUUGUUACAGGGAAGGGUCCGAUUGAGAAUUUGUUUGACCAUCUUGCUGACCCGGUUGCUAACAAUGCUUGGGCUUAUGCUACCAACUUUGUGCCCGGAAAAUGAGUGUAAAUUGAAUCCUUUGUAAAUUCGAUAACUGUUAUGCAACAUUACAAGAUGAAAUGAAGCUGUUUUGUCGAGAAACUAUUGCAUUUCAUAUGAUAUUCCGUAUGAAUUCAUUAUUUCGCAAAGAUGCUAAAAGAAAAUUCUAUAAUUUGCAAUAACAAACUAUCUUGGAGUAACUCGGAAAAUGUAAUAGAAACAAAUCAUUGUACUUGUAUUAUUUUUU
rnacentral:lncRNA from 1 species